CAUUGGGGGUUUUCUCUGAUGUUUCUCUCCAUCCUCACAGGUAUCAGCUGUGAAGAACUCACUCCAGUAGAGAAAGAAGAGAACAGUUUAGAAGACAGCUCUGUUACUCUGUCCUACAGAUACUCCAGACAAGCAACUGGUGCUGAUUAUUUCUUCUGGUAUCGACAAUAUCCAGGAAAACCACCAGAGUUCCUCAUCUUUCACUUUGGAACACAAAAUGCAACAAAGUCUGGACUGUCUGUUUCAGUGAGUGAGGAUAAAACCAAAAUGGAUCUCCAGAUCUCCUCUGCUGCAGGGCCAGACUCUGCUGUGUACUACUGUGCUGUGAGGCCCACAGUGACAGCAAACCCACAGUCUCUGUACAAAAACACAAGCUGACACACUGCCAAGCUGCUGGAAGCCUUUUUUCUACCCUGUUGUAGUGAACCUUGUAGCUCCACUAGAGGGCGACAUUAUCAAGUAGGAGGUGCACUACUUGUGCACUGUGUUCAACCAUUCAGUCAAUAAGAAGUGGAGCUGUGAAG